UUGAGACAUUGGUUCCCAUACGACCACCAAAGUUAAGCAAUGUUGAGCCUGGUCAGUACCUCAAUGGAUGACCACUUGGUAAUAACAAGUGCUGUAAG